AGGGAUCGAAUCCACUUCUCUUUUGUCUUCUGCAUUGGCAGGGAGAGAAGCCAGGCCCUCGGAAGUGAGAGCAGAGCGCUGACCACUGCACCUCCAGGGAAUUGCCGCACGUCUUAAACGCACGGCAACAGCAAGAAGCUGUUACUGUUACCAGCCAAGGGCACACAUCAGCAAACAGGGAAAUGCCAGUCAGACGGGAACUGGGAACACUGGGAAAGCAGAGAGACGGGGCCAAGACAGCUUCCGCCUCGGAGGCAUUCCUGACUCCCCUCCGGGGA